GGUGGGGUAACGGCUCACCUAGGCGACGAUCCCUAGCUGGUCUGAGAGGAUGACCAGCCACACUGGAACUGAGACACGGUCCAGACUCCUACGGGAGGCAGCAGUGGGGAAUAUUGCACAAUGGGCGCAAGCCUGAUGCAGCCAUGCCGCGUGUAUGAAGAAGGCCUUCGGGUUGUAAAGUACUUUCAGCGGGGAGGAAGGGAGUAAAGUUAAUACCUUUGCUCAUUGACGUUACCCGCAGAAGAAGCACCGGCUAACUCCGUGCCAGCAGCCGCGGUAAUACGGAGGGUGCAAGCGUUAAUCGGAAUUACUGGGCGUAAAGCGCACGCAGGCGGUUUGUUAAGUCAGAUGUGAAAUCCCCGGGCUCAACCUGGGAACUGCAUCUGAUACUGGCAAGCUUGAGUCUCGUAGAGGGGGGUAGAAUUCCAGGUGUAGCGGUGAAAUGCGUAGAGAUCUGGAGGAAUACCGGUGGCGAAGGCGGCCCCCUGGACGAAGACUGAC
rnacentral:rRNA from 1 species